GUCAACUGUGUUUAGUGGUUUGAGCAUCCGCUUCGGAUGCAGAAUGUCGUUGGUUCGAACCCAGUCAUACCA